GACGAACGCUGGCGGCGUGCUUAACACAUGCAAGUCGAGCGGUAAGGCCCUUUCGGGGGUACACGAGCGGCGAACGGGUGAGUAACACGUGGGUGACCUGCCCUUAGCUCUGGGAUAAGCCUGGGAAACUGGGUCUAAUACCGGAUAUGACUCCAUGACGCAUGUUGUGGGGUGGAAAGCCUUGUGCGGCUAGGGAUGGGCCCGCGGCCUAUCAGCUUGUUGGUGGGGUGAUGGCCUACCAAGGCGACGACGGGUAGCCGGCCUGAGAGGGGCGACCGGCCACACUGGGACUGAGACACGGCCCAGACUCCUACGGGAGGCAGCAGUGGGGAAUCUUGCGCAAUGGGCGAAAGCCUGACGCAGCGACGCCGCGUGAGGGAUGAC
rnacentral:rRNA from 1 species